GAACUGCAGUAGUGGUGGAAAUAUGUUUUCUCUUUCUCCAAUCCCCAUGUGUUUUACUUCUCUUAUGUUCCUUUUCACUACGUAACCUCUGGCUCCAAGAAGAUUAGAAUGAGAACAUUCCAGGAUUGAACCUCAGGGUGAUGCCUGACACCCCCAACACGAGCAGCCCACUGACCAUCAAUGCAGCGCAAAUGACUGGUUUCUGAUCCUUCUGCAUAAGCGGCUAUCACAGGGGCAUCCCCAGGUCACCAAAGGAACACAUUCCUGAAUAGCCAGUAAAAUGACUAUUCUUGAAGAGAUAGGUGUGGAACCAUAUUCCGUCCAAUCACUUGUGAUCAGAGCUUGGGACAACAUGGCCCAGAGUCAGCUCAGCAAGGACCAUGGAUAAGGUAGGUGAUGACAAUGAAGCUUAACAGAUAUAAAUGUUCACAUUUAUAUAAUAACUUUUAAAAUAAUAAGUAAUGAAGACUUGCCUCAGUGAUAGUUUAUAGGAACAACUGAUGUUGAUUUUAUUCAUCAUAACAUUACUUAGGGCAAAAAUGUUAUGUAGAACAUGUGAAGAAGGACACUGACCAAUUAGUAUGUUAUCAAAAGUGGAAGGCUCUACAAUUUAUAGGAAAUGUGAAAUGAAUUUAUAAACAGUAAGAGUGUUCGCCUAAGUUGUUGUAAUAUAUAAGAGAGGAAACACCAGGGCUAUAUUACUCCCAUGGGCAGGGGUUGACAGGGUGGGUUUUGGAGCAG